rnacentral:rRNA from 1 species
GACGAACCGAGCGAACGUUGUUCGGAAUCACUGGGCUUAAAGGGCGCGUAGGCGGGCUCUCAAGUCCGGGGUGAAAUCCUCCAGCUCAACUGGAGAACUGCCUCGGAUACUGGGGGCCUCGAGGGUGGUAGGGGUAUGCGGAACUAUCGGUGGAGCGGUGAAAUGCGUUGAUAUCGAUAGGAACUCCGGUGGCGAAGGCGGCAUACUGGACCACAUCUGACGCUGAGGCGCGAAAGCCAGGGGAGCAAACGGG